GAAUUUGGACAUGGGGGGAACCUGAUCAGCCAUCCCGCGAUGUGGGAUGAAGGCCUUCGGGUUGUAAAGCACUUUUGGCAGUGCAAGAAACGGCGCCGGCAUAAUACCUGGACGCUACUGACGGCUACCGUGCACUAAUAAGCACCGGCUAACUACG
rnacentral:rRNA from 1 species